GACGAACGCUGGCGGCGUGCUUAACACAUGCAAGUCGAACGGAAAGGCCCUGCUUUUGUGGGGUGCUCGAGUGGCGAACGGGUGAGUAACACGUGAGUAACCUACCCUUGACUUUGGGAUAACUUCAGGAAACUGGGGCUAAUACCGGAUAGGAGCUCCUGCUGCAUGGUGGGGGUUGGAAAGUUUCGGCGGUUGGGGAUGGACUCGCGGCUUAUCAGCUUGUUGGUGGGGUAGUGGCUUACCAAGGCUUUGACGGGUAGCCGGCCUGAGAGGGUGACCGGCCACAUUGGGACUGAGAUACGGCCCAGACUCCUACGGGAGGCAGCAGUGGGGAAUAUUGCACAAUGGGCGGAAGCCUGAUGCAGCAACGCCGCGUGCGGGAUGACGGCCUUCGGGUUGUAAACCGCUUUCGCCUGUGACGAAGCGUGAGGGACGGUAAUGGGUAAAGAAGCACCGGCGAACUACGU
rnacentral:rRNA from 1 species